rnacentral:rRNA from 1 species
GACGAACGCUGGCGGCGUGCUUAACACAUGCAAGUCGAACGGAAAGGCCCUGCUUUUGUGGGGUGCUCGAGUGGCGAACGGGUGAGUAACACGUGAGUAACCUGCCCUUGACUUUGGGAUAACUUCAGGAAACUGGGGCUAAUACCGGAUAGGAGCUCCUGCUGCAUGGUGGGGGUUGGAAAGUUUCGGCGGUUGGGGAUGGACUCGCGGCUUAUCAGCUUGUUGGUGGGGUAGUGGCUUACCAAGGCUUUGACGGGUAGCCGGCCUGAGAGGGUGACCGGCCACAUUGGGACUGAGAGACGGCCCAGACUCGUACGGGAGGCAGCAGGGGGGAAGCUUGCAGAAGGGGCGGAAGCCGGAUGCAGAAACGCCGCGUGCGGGAUGACGGCCUUCGGGUUGUAAACCGCUUUCGCCUGUGACGAAGCGUGAGUGACGGUAAUGGGUAAAGAAGCACCGGCUAAAUACGUGC